rnacentral:rRNA from 1 species
CACGGCCCUUACGUCCUGGGCCACACACGUGCUACAAUGGCCGGUACAGAGAGCAGCCACUUACCGAUAAGGAGCGAAUCUAUAAAGCCGGUCACAAUUCGGAUUGGAGUCUGCAACUCGACUCUAUGAAGAUGGAAUCGCUAGUAAUCGGAUAUCACCCAUGAUCCGGUGAAUACGUUCCCGGGCCUUGUACACACCGCCCGUCAAGCCAUGGAAGCUGGGGGUACCUGAAGUCGGGGACCGCAAGGAGCUGCCUGGGUAAAACUAGUGACUGGGGCUAAUGCGUACAAGGUAACCGAAAAUCCCGCGGCCAUGGGGGCCGGGAGCAUGCGACGUCGGGCCCAAUUCGGCCUAUAUUGAGUCUCAUUAACAAUGGACGCAAGUCUGACGGAGCAAUGCCGCGUGAGUGAUGAAGGUUUUCGGAUUGUAAAACUCUGUUGUUAGGGAAGAACAAGUACCGUUCAAAUAGGGCGGUACCUUGACGGUACCUAACCAGAAAGCCCCGGCUAACUACGUGCCAGCAGCCGCGGUAAUACGUAGGGGGCGAGCGUUGUCCGGAAUUAUUGGGCGUAAAGGGCACGCAGGCGGUCUUCUAAGUCUGAUGUGAAAUCCCACGGCUUAACCGUGGUAGGUCAUUGGAAACUGGAGGACUUGAGUACGGAAGAGGAGAGUGGAAUUCCACGUGUAGCGGUGAAAUGCGUAGAGAUGUGGAGGAACACCAGUGGCGAAGGCGACUCUCUGGUCUGUAACUGACGCUGAGGUGCGAAAGCGUGGGUAGCGAACAGGAUUAGAUACCCUGGUAGUCCACGCCGUAAACGAUGAGUGCUAGGUGUCAAGGGGUUUCCGCCCCUUGGUGCUGCAGUUAACGCAUUAAGCACUCCGCCUGGGGAGUACGGCCGCAAGGCUGAAACUCAAAAGAAUUGACGGGGGCCCGCACAAGCGGUGGAGCAUGUGGUUUAAUUCGAAGCAACGCGAAGAACCUUACCAGGUCUUGACAUCCUCUGACAACCCUAGAGAUAGGGCAUUCCCUUCGGGGACAGAGUGACAGGUGGUGCAUGGUUGUCGUCAGCUCGUGUCGUGAGAUGUUGGGUUAAGUCCCGUAACAAGUGCAACCCUUGAUAUUAGUUGCCAGCAUUUAGUUGGGCACUUUAAGGUGUCUGCCGGUGACAAGCCGGACGAAGGUGGGGAUGACGUCAAAUCAUCAUCCCCUCUACGACCUCGGCUACACACGGGCCACAAUGGAUGGAACAAAGGGCAGAGAAACCGCGAGGUGAAGCGAAUCCCAUAAAACCAUUCUCAGUUCGGAUUGUAGGCUGCAAUUCGCCUACAUGAAGCAGGAAUCGCUAGUAAUCGCGGAUCAUCAUGCCUCGGCCAAUAUGUUCCCGGGCCUUGUACACACCGCCCGUCCCCCCCCGAGAGAUAACAACACCCGAAGUCGGUGAGGUAACCCUUACGGGAGCCAACCGCCGAAGGUGGGGCCAAUGAUUGGGGUG